ACAGAGGGUGCGAGCGUUAAUCGGAAUUACUGGGCGUAAAGCGCACGUAGGUGGCUUUGCAAGUCGAUUGUGAAAUCCCCCGGCUUAACCUGGGAACUGCGUCUGAUACUGGACGGCUUGAGUAUGGGAGAGGGAUGUAGAAUUCCAGGUGUAGCGGUGAAAUGCGUAGAUAUCUGGAGGAAUACCGGUGGCGAAGGCGGCAUCCUGGACCAUUACUGACGCUGAGGCGCGAAAGCUAGGGGAGCAAACGGGA
rnacentral:rRNA from 1 species